GAUGAACGCUGGCGGCGUGCCUAAUACAUGCAAGUCGAGCGAACGGACGAGAAGCUUGCUUCUCUGAUGUUAGCGGCGGACGGGUGAGUAACACGUGGAUAACCUACCUAUAAGACUGGGAUAACUUCGGGAAACCGGAGCUAAUACCGGAUAAUAUUUUGAACCGCAUGGUUCAAAAGUGAAAGACGGUCUUGCUGUCACUUAUAGAUGGAUCCGCGUUGCAUUAGCUAGUUGGUAAGGUAACGGCUUACCAAGGCAACGAUGCAUAGCCGACCUGAGAGGGUGAUCGGCCACACUGGAACUGAGACACGGUCCAGACUCCUACGGGAGGCAGCAGUAGGGAAUCUUCCGCAAUGGGCGAAAGCCUGACGGAGCAACGCCGCGUGAGUGAUGAAGGUCUUCGGAUCGUAAAACUCUGUUAUUAGGGAAGAACAUAUGUGUAAGUAACUGUGCCCAUCUUGACGGUACCUAAUCAGAAAGCCACGGCUAACUACGUG
rnacentral:rRNA from 1 species